UACGUAGGUGGCUAGCGUUGUCCGGAUUUACUGGGCGUAAAGAGCGCGCAGGCGGUCGUUCAAGUCGAGUGUGAAAGCCCCCCGGCUCAACUGGGGAGGGUCACUCGAUACUGAUCGACUCGAAGGCAGGAGAGGGAAGCGGAAUUCCCGGUGUAGUGGUGAAAUGCGUAGAUAUCGGGAGGAACACCAGUGGCGAAGGCGGCUUUCUGGCCUGUUCUUGACGCUGAGGCGCGAAAGCUAGGGUAGCAAACGGG
rnacentral:rRNA from 1 species